rnacentral:rRNA from 1 species
AGUGGGGAAUAUUGGACAAUGGGCGAAAGCCUGAUCCAGCAAUGCCGCGUGAGUGAUGAAGGCCUUAGGGUUGUAAAGCUCUUUUACCCGGGAUGAUAAUGACAGUACCGGGAGAAUAAGCUCCGGCUAACUCCGUGCCAGCAGCCGCGGUAAUACGGAGGGAGCUAGCGUUGUUCGGAAUUACUGGGCGUAAAGCGCGCGUAGGCGGCUUUGUAAGUUAGAGGUGAAAGCCCGGGGCUCAACCCCGGAAUUGCCUUUAAGACUGCAUCGCUUGAAUCCGGGAGAGGUGAGUGGAAUUCCGAGUGUAGAGGUGAAAUUCGUAGAUAUUCGGAAGAACACCAGUGGCGAAGGCGGCUCACUGGACCGGUAUUGACGCUGAGGUGCGAAAGCGUGGGGAGCAAA